GACAUGAAGAAUGAAUAAGUGACCAAUCUCUGCCCUCAAGGAGCUCAAAGUUUAGGAAGGAAUUGCACACCAACAAUGGGUGACAUUCCAAUAUAAUAAGUAGGGUUAUAGAGAGCCAUGGGAAUACAAGGAAGGGACUGGUCCAGGGAACUGAAGAAGGUCUAAGAUAAAGAUAGCUGGGGUUUAUUUUUUAACAAUCAUGUUAAGCCAUUAGGAAAAUGCACAUUAAAAUUUUGAGAUACCACUAGGAUGGCUAAUAAGAAAGACAGAUAAAACAAGUCUUCAUGAUCAUGUGGAGAAGUUGGAACCCUCUUGCACUGCUGGUGGGAAUUUUAAAUGGUGUGUAUGCUUUAGAAACAGUUUGGCAGUUCCUCAAAAAGUUAAAAGUAGAGUUAUCAUAUAACAGCAAUUUCACUCACAGGUAUACAGCAAAGAGAAAUGAAAGCAUAUGUCCACACAAAAACCAGUACACAGAUAUUAAUAAUAGCCUCAAAUGGAGUUCCCUUGUGGCACAGCAGGUUAAGGAUCUGGCAUUGUCCCUGCAGAGGCAUGGAUUGCUGUGGUGGUGUGGAUUUGAUCCCUGACCCGGGAACUUCCAUGUGCCUCGGCAAGGCCAAAAAAUAAAUAGGCCUUAAUGGAAAUAACCCAAAUGCCCCUCAAUUGAUGAAUAGAUAAAUAAAAUGUGGUACGUAUACACAAUGGAAUAUUAUUUGGUAAUAAAACAAAGUACUGAUUCACACUACAGCGCAGAUGAAAAUGUUAUGCAAAGUGAAAGGGGCUAGUCACAAAAUGCCAUAUAUUGAAUGAUUCUAGUUAUAUGAAAUGUACAAAAUAGGCAAAUCCACAGAGACAGAAAGUAGAUUAGUGGUUGUCAGGAGCUUGAAAGAGGGGAAAUAAAGAAUAACUGCUAGGGACAUGAGGUUUAAUUUUGGAAUGAUUAAAUCAUUCUAAAAUUGAUUAUGAAUAUAUUAAAGGCCAUUGAAGGGAACACUUUCAAUAGGUAUAUUUUAUGAAAAGUGAAUUAUAUCUUGGUAUAGCUGUAAAAACAAGGAAAUAUGACAGGAUCCUAAAGUUUCUUAUUGCUUGCAGGGGUGAGGGAGUAAGUUUAAGUUCAUCAGAGGACAGUCCAGGAAAGGAACUCCAGGAUAGAGAAGAACAUGGUCCAAGGCAUGGAGAUAUUAAAGAGCAUGCUAUAUUGGGGGAUUAGUGAGAAAUCCAGUCUGGUCCUAGAAGGGUAUGCAGUGUGGAGUGCUAAGAGCUGGAAAGGGGUUUCGUCUUUGGAAUUUGCAUCCAGUGCUGAGUUUGUCCUGAAGGCAACUGAGAACCAUGAAAUAUUUUCAAGCAGGAGAGUGAGUCAUGCUGUAGGAAUAUUUGUCUGGCAGUGUGGAAUGAAUUGUUGAGGUAGUGACUGGAGGCAAGAAAGACCAAUUGGAGAGUGGCUAUGAGACUGAAGGAGACCUGUCAGGACCUGAAACACCGUGAUAGCAGUGGAGACGGACAAGAGAGAAAAUAUUUGAAAGCUAAUGAUGAAAAAUCAGAAAGACUUAAAAAGUCACUUAUGGUGCUAAGAUUUCUAAGUUGGGAGAACAGGUAGAUCCUGAUACCAGUUUUAACAUUUAUAGUAAAACUGAGCAAAUUUGGCAUGCAGUGUCCAUGAACAUGCACCAGUGGGAUCUCCUGCUGCAGGGGCAUGAGGACUGAAGGUUCACAUUCUCUGAAUCCACCACUGUUUUAGCACCCAGACUGUGCCUCCCCAGCUGCUCUUAGCCAAUGAUUGAUGUGCUACAUGCACUAAGACAGGUCCUUUCCUGCAAAAUGGGGCCCUCCUCUGAGAAACACUUUUUUUUUUUUAUCUUUUUUUGUGCCUUCUCCCCAGCCCCAGGCAAAUGGAGGUCCCAGGCCAGGAAUUAUAUCCGAGCCACAGUUGUGACCUAUGCUGCAAUUGUGGCAACACCAGACACUUAACCCACUGUACUGGGCUAUCAAACCUGUGUCGUGUCCCAGCACUAUAGAGAGCCAUUGAUCCUGUUGCACCACAACAGGAGCUCCUGAGAGGCAAAUUUGACACAAGGACUUCUUGCUGAACUUUCUUAGAACUGUGCUGCAGUGUAAGGCUCUACCUCUCCAAUCCUCCUUCCUUCCCUCUCUACUUUGCCAAGCUCAGACCCACAUGGGUCUGAGAGCUCUCUCAGGCUCUUCCAGCUCUCUCUCAUUUUUUCCUCACAGGUUGCUAUAGACUUAAUGUUUAUCCUGCCCCUCCUCCCCCACAUCCAUAUGUUGCAAUCUGGAAACCCCCAAUAUGAUAGUAUUAGGAGUCAGGACCUUUGUGGGUACCUGAAUCACACAGACUCCAUUUUGUCAACUCCAUCUUUGACCCACAGUCCUACCCACUCCCUUCUCUGUACAACUGAACUUUGGCCGGCUCACAAGGAAUGAGCCCAAGCCAAAACGGUUCACCAUCAACUUUUACCCUCGCCUUCAUCUGAUAGGAAAACUGGAAGAGUAGCUUUUUCUGAUACGAAUGGUUAAUGGUCAUGAGCCCCCAGUCCCCCCCCCCCGAGUCUGGGGAGAGGGGGAGAUCCCCUGUGAAACAUGCUUCUCACUUGGUAUUCAAAUACUAGUUUUAGUUUUGGCCUCUCUAAACCCCCCUGGCCACCUUUUGGUGGUGUGGAGUGCAGCUGUAAAUGCCUCUGGAUCUUCUGCCUGCCUCUACCUGAUCCUUCCUGCCUGGGUGUAAGUUACCCACAACAUCAUAAUUGCACUAUAUGGAGCUGCACACCUAGCUUUUCAGUCUCAAAGGGCCUUCUCAGUUAGAGGAUAGUAGUCAAUAUCUUCCUUCCAAACGGGUGAUUAGAGUAUGAGGGUAAAGCCUUCAGGAUGGGAUUAGUGCUCUCAAAAGAGAAAAACUCAGAGACCUCCCUCAACCCUUCCUCCAUGUGACAAGACAGUGAAAACAUAGCCAUCUGCAAUCCAAAAGAGGCUUCUUACCAGAAUUCAACCAUGCUGACAACCUGAUCUCGGAUUCUAGCCUACAGAACUAUAAUAAACCUCUGUUGCUUGUAAGCUAACCAGUCUUUGGUGUUCUGUCACAGUAGUUCACACAGACUAAGACAGAAACUUGUACUGAGAAGAAUGGGUGCUGCUGUAGCAGAUACCUGAAAAUGUGGAAACACCUUUGAGAUGUGCGGAGUCUGGAAGAGCUCUGAAGUGUGUGCUAGAAAAAGCAUCCUUUCCAUGAGCAGGCUGGUAAGGGCAAUGGUGCUGAGAGCUCACAAAAGAGAGGAACUGCAGGGUAAGCCUCUGUCUUCUUAGAGGUUACCUAACUAGCCAUGGUCAGAGUGUUGGGAGAAAGAUGGACAGUCAAUGCCAUCCUAAUGAGGUCACAGGCAGAAAUAAGGAACACAUUACUGGACAGGAGAGGAAAUCCUUAUUAUAAAGUGGAAAAGAAUUUAGCUGAGUUGUGGAAGAUAGAAUUGUGAUCGAUGAAGUCGUAUAGUUAGCUGAAGUGAUUUCUAAGCAAAGUGUUGAAGGCAUAGCUUGGCUCCCCCUGACUGCUCCUAGUAAGCUGUAAGAAAGGAAAAAUUACUUAAAAACAGAAUUGUUAAGGAAAAACAUACUAGAAAUAAAAGAUUUGAAAAACUCUCAGCUGAUGGAUAUUGCAAAAAAUGAGAGCAUGCGAGGAAGAGAAGACUCGGGUGUGGCAAGGAGGCUAGUUGAUAAGGAUUUUAGUCUGAGUGUGAAUUGUGGACCUAGUCUGCUCUCUAAGCAGAAGCCAGGCACUACUCCCCAAGCCAGUGGAAGAGUGACCCCAAAACAAUUCAGAAAGCACCAGAGCUGCUGGUCCACCACUAGCCCAAAGUGCAAGGGAGUAGAGAGUCAGGGUGAUGAGACUAUCUACCAGAGCCUCGGGUACAGGACCUCGUCCCAAGAGAUCCCCAGAGUCCAGGCAGAAAACUGUUGCAGGGCUGUCCCACUGAGCCCUGGGGUGACAUUGCCUCCACAGCAGUCCUAGAGGGCAGAGCACUGAGCCAAAGAGAAUUUUUCAGAGAUUUUAGGAUCUCAUAAAGUUUGGACUUGCUUGAAAUCAGUUACCUCUUUCUUUUUCCUAUUUCUCCCUCUUGGAAUGGAAAUGUCUAUCCUAUGCCUAUGCCACCUUUGUAUUUUGGAAGCACACAACUUGCUUGGUUUCACAGAUUCACACCUGGAGAGAAGUGGCCUCAGGAAGAGGUGUACCUUGAGUCUCACCCUAUCUCUGAUGUAGAUGAUACUUAGACAAGAAUUUAAACUUUAUACUUUAGUUGAUGCUGGACCAAGUUAAGACUUUUGGAUCUGUUGAGAUGGAAUGAAUGUAUUUUGCCUGGACAUGAAGUGGGUGUGGGGGGCAGCAGUGGAAUAUUAUAGCUUAAACAGUUGUAUACCUCCAGAAUUCAUAGGUAGAAAUCUUAACCCUCAAUAUGAUGGUAUUAGGAGAUGGGGGGGGGGCUUUGAAAGGUGAUUAGGUCGUAGGGCAAGGCUCUCACAAAUGGGAUCAGAGCCCUAUGCAAGAGAACCCAAAGUGUUUCCUUUGCCCCUGCAGCCAUUUGAGGACAGUGAGAAGUCAGUAAUCUAUAAGCCAGGAUGUGAGCCCUCACCAGACAGCAAAUCUAUCAGCACCAUGAGCUUGGACUUACCAGCCUGCAGAACUGUGAGAAAUAAAUGUCUGCUGUUUAUAAGCCACCUAGUCUAUGGCACUCUGUUAUAGUAACUUGAAAGGACUAGAACACAGUUAUUUUCUCCAAAAAACUUCCAGCAAUCAAAUCCCAUCUUGGUAUCUGCUUCUCAGAAGAUCCAAAAAUGAUGGAAAAGCAUUAGAAAUAAUGCUCCUUAUUCCUUUGGCCCAGUUUCAUUUUUUUCCUUUGAAAUUCAACAUUCAUUCAACAAACAUUUUUGAGCAAUUAUAUAUACAAUGAUCCAAAGAAUAACUGAAAUCAAAAACCACAAAGAAUUCUUUGGUUAUAAUUGUUUUCCAAGGUUCUGUGGUUUUGUAUUUCAUGACUUGGCUUUGUCUCACUAUACUUUUUAUAUUGUAGAAGAAUAUUGGUUUUCAUGUGAAAAUAAACAUUAUACAAUACUUGAGAAGGAAAACAAAGUUAAAACUUUUAGGUUGUUCCAAAUAUUUACACAUAUUUAUUGACAAACAUAGAAAAAAGACCAAAAAAAAAAAAUCCAAAAACAUGAAUGUUGAUUUCUGAGAGGUAAAAAUUAUGAAUUAUGGGUUAGAAUUAUGGGCUAUUUUCCAUAUUUACUCCCUUCAUCACAUUUUUUAAUUAUCCAAAAUUUCUGCAGGAGUUCCUAUUGUGGCUCAGCAGUAAUGAACCUGACUAGUAUCCAUGGGAACACAGGUUUGAUCCCUGGCCUCGCUCAGUGAUUUAAGGACCUGGUGUUGCCAUGAGCUGUGGUGUAGGUGGUAAACGUGGCUUGGACCUGGCGUCGCUGUGGCCUUGGUGUAGGCCAGCAGCUACAGCUCCAAUUUGACCCCUAGCCUGGGAACUUUCAUAUGCCACGGAUGUGACCCCAAAAAGAAAAAAAAAA
rnacentral:lncRNA from 9 species